AUUGAACGCUGGCGGCAGGCUUAACACAUGCAAGUCGAGCGAGCGGCGGACGGGUGAGUCAUGUCUGGGAAACUGCCUGAUGGAGGGGGAUAACUACUGGAAACGGUAGAUAAUACCGCAUACCAUCAGAUGUACCCAGAUGGGAUUAGCUAGUAGGUGGGGUAAGGGCUCACCAAGGCGACGAUCCCUAGCUGAUCUGAGAGGAUGACCAGCCACACUGGAACUGAGACACGGUCCAGACUCCUACGGGAGGCAGCAGUGGGGAAUAUUGCACAAUGGGCGCAAGCCUGAUGCAGCCAUGCCGCGUGUGUGAAGAAGGCCUUCGGGUUGUAAAGCUCUUUCAUCGAGGAGGCGUUACUCGAAGAAGAAGCACCGGCUAACUCCGUGCCAGCAGCCGCGGUAAUAC
rnacentral:rRNA from 1 species